rnacentral:rRNA from 1 species
UACGUAGGGUGCGAGCGUUAAUCGGAAUUACUGGGCGUAAAGCGUGCGUAGGCGGUUCGUUAAGUUCGUUGUGAAAGCCCCGGGCUCAACCUGGGAACUGCAAUGGAAACUGGCGGGCUUGAGUGUGGCAGAGGGGGGUGGAAUUCCGCGUGUAGCAGUGAAAUGCGUAGAGAUGCGGAGGAACACCGAUGGCGAAGGCAGCCCCCUGGGCCAACACUGACGCUGAGGCGCGAAAGCGUGGGGAGCAAACAGG